rnacentral:rRNA from 1 species
GGGACACGUGGUAUCCUGUCUGAAUAUGGGGGGACCAUCCUCCAAGGCUAAAUACUCCUGACUGACCGAUAGUGAACCAGUACCGUGAGGGAAAGGCGAAAAGAACCCCGGCGAGGGGAGUGAAAAAGAACCUGAAACCGUGUACGUACAAGCAGUGGGAGCACCUUCGGGUGUGACUGCGUACCUUUUGUAUAAUGGGUCAGCGACUUAUAUUCUGUAGCAAGGUUAACCGUAUAGGGGAGCCGCAGGGAAACCGAGUCUUAACUGGGCGUUAAGUUGCAGGGUAUAGACCCGAAACCCGGUGAUCUAGCCAUGGGCAGGUUGAAGGUUGGGUAACACUAACUGGAGGACCGAACCGACUAAUGUUGAAAAAUUAGCGGAUGACUUGUGGCUGGGGGUGAAAGGCCAAUCAAACCGGGAGAUAGCUGGUUCUCCCCGAAAGCUAUUUAGGUAGCGCCUCGUGAAUUCAUCUUCGGGGGUAGAGCACUGUUUCGGCUAGGGGGUCAUCCCGACUUACCAACCCGAUGCAAACUACGAAUACCGAAGAAUGUUAUCACGGGAGACACACGGCGGGUGCUAACGUCCGUCGUGAAGAGGGAAACAACCCAGACCGCCAGCUAAGGUCCCAAAGUCAUGGUUAAGUGGGAAACGAUGUGGGAAGGCACAGACAGCCAGGAUGUUGGCUUAGAAGCAGCCAUCAUUUAAAGAAAGCGUAAUAGCUCACUGGUCGAGUCGGCCUGCGCGGAAGAUGUAACGGGGCUAAACCAUGCACCGAAGCUGCGGCAGCGACACUAUGUGUUGUUGGGUAGGGGAGCGUUCUGUAAGCCUGCGAAGGUGACCUGUGAGGGUUGCUGGAGGUAUCAGAAGUGCGA